rnacentral:rRNA from 1 species
GAUGAACGCUGGCGGCGUGCCUAAUACAUGCAAGUCGAACGCAUUGAGAGAAGUGCUUGCACUUUUCAAUUUGAGUGGCGAACGGGUGAGUAGCACGUGGGCAACCUACCUGAUAGCGGGGGAUAACGAGUGGAAACAUUCGCUAAUACCGCAUAACAAUAGAGAAGGCAUCUUCUUUAUUUAAAAGGCGCUUUAAAGCGUCACUAUCAGAUGGGCCCGCGGUGCAUUAGUUAGUUGGUGGGGUGAAGGCCUACCAAGACGAUGAUGCAUAGCCGAGUUGAGAGACUGAUCGGCCACAUUGGGACUGAGACACGGCCCAAACUCCUACGGGAGGCUGCAGUAGGGAAUCUUCCACAAUGGACGAAAGUCUGAUGGAGCAACGCCGCGUGUGUGAUGAUGGCUUUCGGGUCGUAAAGCACUGUUGUAUGGGAAGAAAUGCUAGGCUAGGAAAUGAGCUUAGUUUGACGGUACCAUACCAGAAAGGGACGGCUAAAUACGUGCCAGCCGCCGCGGUAA